UUCCUUUUACUUCGGAUGAUCGGAUCGGUCGUUCUUCCGCUGACUGCUGUAGCGCUGUUCACGUACGGCCUCCGACGAACGAGGAACGACAGAACGAAACGCCGACUGCCGCCGCCCGCCGACGCCGACUGCAGCAGCCAGCAGGUCAACAAGGAAUUGUGGGCUGGGCGAUCAAAUCUUUGAGGAUUGAACCCAUAUAGCCAGAUUAGAUUACAGAGAGAAGCAGGGUCAUGCUUAAAAGAAAAAAGAAGGAGGAGGCAGAUGAGGAGAAAAAGGCAUUGAAAGGAUCUCUUUUUAAGGCACUUCAAGAAAUCGAGAGGAGUUGGCGAUAGUUCUCGCGGAUGAUCAACCUAAUGCCAAUCGGGAAGAUGAUGGUCAUACCCCUACAGAAGAUGAUGUUGACAUCAACAUGGAUGAUACCAAUGUGAGUGAUCAUGAGCCCAUAUUUAAUUCAUCCGCGGCAGAAUCUGCUAGUGUUGAUGAGGAAUUGGUUAUUACUGUGGAUAUUUAUGAUCCAAGGAAUUGGGGUCUUCUUGAUAACAAAGCGAGGGACAUAUUAGUGGAAAACGGGCCUAAAAGGGAAGAAGAAAACACUAAAUACAUGAAACUUUAAGACAUUUUUUGUAUAGCCAUUACUCAAGAAAAAUGAGCAAUGGGGAGGUGCGUGAUAGGAGAUGGUUAGUUUUUUCUUUUAUGAAACUUUAAAACAUUUUGCAUGUCAGAAUGUUAGAAGGAAUUUUUUAAGGUAAUAUGUAACACAUUAUGUGAUAUGCACACUGAGUUUGGAUUUACUUAAUUUAUUUCUUUGACAAAAUUAUAUCUAUAUAUGAUGAUUACUGGUUA